rnacentral:rRNA from 1 species
GACGAACGCUGGCGGCGUGCUUAACACAUGCAAGUCGAACGUGAUUUUUGUGGAAAGCCCUUCGGGGACGGAAGCGAAAUGAAAGUGGCGAACGGGUGAGUAACACGUGAGCAACCUACCUUACACAGGGGGAUAGCCGUUGGAAACGACGAUUAAUACCGCAUGAGACCACAAAGCCACAUGGCUUAGGGGUAAAAGAU